GGAACGUACCUUUCAGUGGGGGAUAACGUAGCGAAAGUUACGCUAAUACCGCAUAUUCUGUGAGCAGGAAAGCAGGGGAUCUUAGGACCUUGCGCUGAUUGAGCGGCCGAUAUCAGAUUAGCUAGUUGGUGAGGUAAAGGCUCACCAAGGCGACGAUCUGUAGCGGGUCUGAGAGGAUGAUCCGCCACACUGGAACUGAGACACGGUCCAGACUCCUACGGGAGGCAGCAGUGGGGAAUUUUGGACAAUGGGGGCAACCCUGAUCCAGCCAUGCCGCGUGAGUGAAGAAGGCCUUCGGGUUGUAAAGCUCUUUCAGCCGGGAAGAAAACGCAUGGGUUAAUACCCUGUGUGGAUGACGGUACCGGAAUAAGAAGCACCGGCUAACUACGUGCCAGCAGCCGCGGUAAUACGUAGGGUGCGAGCGUUAAUCGGAAUUACUGGGCGUAAAGCGUGCGCAGGCGGUUUUGUAAGACAGGCGUGAAAUCCCCGGGCUCAACCUGGGAACUGCGUUUGUGACUGCAAGGCUAGAGUAUGGCAGAGGGGGGUGGAAUUCCACGUGUAGCAGUGAAAUGCGUAGAGAUGUGGAGGAACACCGAUGGCGAUGCAGCCCCCUGGGCCAAUACUGACGCUCAUGCACGAAAGCGUGGGUAGCAAACAGGAUUAGAUACCCUGGUAGUCCACGCCCUAAACGAUGUCAACUAGGUGUUGGGUGGGUAAAACCAUUUAGUACCGGAGCUAACGCGUGAAGUUGACCGCCUGGGGAGUACGGCCGCAAGGUUAAAACUCAAAGGAAUUGACGGGGACCCGCACAAGCGGUGGAUGAUGUGGAUUAAUUCGAUGCAACGCGAAAAACCUUACCUACCCUUGACAUGUCCAGAAGCCCUUAGAGAUUUGGGUGUGCCCGAAAGGGAGCUGGAACACAGCUGCUGCAUGGCUGUCGUCAGCUCGUGUCGUGAGAUGUUGGGUUAAGUCCCGCAACGAGCGCAACCCUUGUCGUUAAUUGCCAUCAUUUAGUUGGGCACUUUAACGAGACUGCCGGUGACAAACCGGAGGAAGGUGGGGAUGACGUCAAGUCCUCAUGGCCCUUAUGGGUAGGGCUUCACACGUCAUACAAUGGUCGGUACAAAGGGUCGCCAACCCGCGAGGGGGAGCCAAUCCCAGAAAGCCGAUCGUAGUCCGGAUCGUAGGCUGCAACUCGCCUGCGUGAAGUCGGAAUCGCUAGUAAUCGUGGAUCAGCAUGUCACGGUGAAUACGUUCCCGGGUCUUGUACACACCGCCCGUCACACCAUGGGAGCGGGUUCCGCCAGAAGUAGGUAGCCUAACCGCAAGGGGGGCGCUUACCACGGCGGGGUUCGUGACUGGGGUGAAGUCGUAACAAGGUAGCCGUAGGGGAACCUGCGGCUG
rnacentral:rRNA from 1 species